UGGGGAAUAUUUCACAAUGGGCGAAAGCCUGAUGCAGCGACGCCGCGUGAGGGAUGACGGCCUUCGGGUUGUAAACCUCUUUCAGCAGGGACGAAGCGCAAGUGACGGUACCUGCAGAAGAAGCACCGGCUAACUACGUGCCAGCAGCCGCGGUAAUACGUAGGGUGCAAGCGUUGUCCGGAAUUACUGGGCGUAAAGAGUUCGUAGGCGGUUUGUCGCGUCGUUUGUGAAAACCAGCAGCUCAACUGCUGGCUUGCAGGCGAUGCGGGCAGACUUGAGUACUGCAGGGGAGACUGGAAUUCCUGGUGUGGCGGUGAAAUGAGCAGAUAUCAGGAGGAACACCGGUGGCGAAGGCGGGUCUCUGGGCAGUAACUGACGCUGAGGAAAGAAAGCGUGGGUAGCGAACAGG
rnacentral:rRNA from 1 species